AUGUUACCUGUCUAUUGCAGGUUGACAUGUAACAUAGUCUCACAUUAUUGUAACACAACCUUGCAUUAUUGUUCUUUCUUGUAUGGUCAAAGGGAAAGGAAUACCAUGGUGGAACUGCAAGAUGGCAUUAAAGUUCCUGCUUGGCAGUGCCACAAGUCACUUGGGCUUAUUUUGGACUGGCCAAAGCAAGUCAUGAGAAGCAAAAGUAAUGAAUCAUCCAGCUAUCUAUGAAGGCAGAGUAUGACAGAUGUGACAGUCCACAGAAGAUUCUGUCAGCAAUGAGAUAACCACUAUGGGCUCGAAUACAAUACUAGAAGAGGAGAAGAGUAGGACACAGCUAGCAUAGAUGGAAGAAUGACCAUGUGAGGACAUAGCAAGAAGCCAGCGACUGUCUGCAAGCCAUGGAAAAAAACCUCAGAAAGAAAGCCUGUUGACACCUUAAUCUUGAAUUUCUAACCUCCAGAAAUGUGAGAAAAUAAAUUUCUGUUAUUUAAUCCAUCCAUCCUGCAGUGUUUGGCAGACCUAGCAAACUACUACAAUUACCAUUGAUUAAUUUUGUCUGUUCUUUAAAAUUACAUAAAUAAAAUCAUACUCACUUGUGUUUGGCUUCUUUCACUCAAUAUGUGUUAAGAUUCAUCAUGUUGUUAUGCAUAUCAGUAAACUGGCUGUUUUCCCUGUAGAUCUUGAAGAACCAAGAUCUAGAGAGAAGUAAAAAGAAUUAAUGGUCCAUGGAGCAACAAUACCAGAAAAGGUAGGGAGAUACAAGGAUAUAUGGCACAUUUAGGGAAUUGUGGGUGUCUUAAUGGGCAGGAGUCAGGACACCCGUGGGAAAUGCUGCAUGUGUGUAGGAAAUUGAGGCCGGAGAGGGAGACAGGGGCCAGUAUCUCUGAGUGAGCGGAAACUCAAAAGAUUUGAAUGAAUUGGAACAAGGUAAGAGAUAAGAGUCCUGAACCUCCUUGUUGGAUUUUCUGGGGACAUCUGCCCUGUCUCUUGAAGUCCCCAUUACCUAGCGUGAACUGGCCAUUUUUAUAGUUGAGUAGUAUUCUACUGAUGAAUAAAUCACAAUUUUUCUGUCCAUAAUCUUGUGAUAGAUAUUUGAAUUUGUUUUCUAGUUUUGG
rnacentral:lncRNA from 1 species